AAAAUGAAUUACAAUAAGCUGUUUGUCUCUUCAGGCUGAGAAUCAUGAAUAAUGCUGCUGAAGAUCAACAGGUUUCUCUCACUUGUCGAAUGUCUUCUUUCAGAUUGUGGAGGAAGCUCCUACAAGAAGCUUGAGUUUGAUCCAGAAUGGCUGGCCAUCUUGAAAGCGACAGACAACCUUCAAAAACCAUCCACCAGUUUCUGGAACCCUCUGUUGGACAACACAGCAGACACAAAACACAUAACAACGAUUUACUGAUAGCUUUCUAAUACUACUGUACCCUUUUCACAAGCCUGACGUGUUUAGCUGUCUUCGGCAUCUGAAAUCCUUAAAAAUUUUUAACGUUUUGUUUU